GUGCCCGUAGCUCAGCUGGAUAGAGCGUUUCCCUCCGAAGGAAGAGGUCGUUGGUUCGAAUCCAAUCGGGCACACCA
rnacentral:tRNA from 1 species